AAUAUUGGGCAAUGGGCGCAAGCCUGACCCAGCAACGCCGCGUGAAGGAAGAAGGCUUUCGGGUUGUAAACUUCUUUUAUGAGGGACGAAAAAAAUGACGGUACCUCAUGAAUAAGCCACGGCUAACUACGUGCCAGCAGCCGCGGUAAUACGUAGGUGGCAAGCGUUAUCCGGAUUUACUGGAUGUAAAGGGCGUGUAGGCGGGACUGCAAGUCAGAUGUGAAAUUCCAGGGCUCAACCCUGGGCGUGCAUUUGAAACUGUGGUUCUUGAGUGUCGGAGAGGCAAUCGGAAUUCCGUGUGUAGCGGUGAAAUGCGUAGAUAUACGGAGGAACACCAGUGGCGAAGGCGGAUUGCUGGACGAUAACUGACGCUGAGGCGCGAAAGCGUGGGGAGCAAACAGG
rnacentral:rRNA from 1 species